ACGGAGACGGAUAGUGUGACCCUCUUAAUGGAUUGAGGGCGAAGCGAAGCGGCUGGUUACCAGGCAAAUCCGGUAACCUUAAGGCUAGAGCGUGACAGGUAAGCGAAAUCUAAGGAAAGUAGCGAAGCACAUGAUGACGGCUUCCAGGAAAAGCUUCUGGCAAUGCAUAUGCGGCCCGUACCAAAACCGACACAGGUGGGCAGGGAGAGAAUCCCGAGGUGAGCGAGAGAACUGUUGCCAAGGAACUCGGCAAAAUGACUCCGUAAGUUAGCGAGAAGGAGUGCUUAAGCAAUUAAGCCGCAGUGAAGAGGCCCAAGCGACUGUUUAACUAAAACACAGCUCUCUGCGAAGUCGCAAGACGAAGUAUAGGGGGUGACACCUGCCCGGUGCUGGAAGGUUAAGAGGAUCUGUUAAGAGCGAUCUGAAGCAGUGAUCCGAAGCCCCAGUGAACGGUGGCCGUAACUAUAACGGUCCUAAGGUAGCGAAAUUCCUUGUCAGGUAAGAUCUGACCCGCACGAAAGGUGUAACGAUUUGGGCGCUGUCUCGGCAGCAGACUCGGUGAAAUCUUAGUACCUGUGAAAAUGCAGGUUACCCGCAACUAGACGGAAAGACCCCAUGGAGCUUUACUGCAGCCUGAUAUUGAAUUCUGGUCAUACAUGUACAGGAUAGGUGGGAGACAAAGAGACGUGCACGCCAGUGUACGAGGAGUCGACGUUGGGAUACCACUCUUGUGUGACCGGGGUUCUAACCUGGUAUCGAGAACAGGUACGGGGAGAGUGUCAGGUGGGCAGUUUGACUGGGGCGGUCGCCUCCCAAAGAGUAACGGAGGCGCCCAAAGGUACGCUCAGAUUGGAUGGAAACCAAUCGACGAGUGCAAUUGCAGAAGCGUGCUUGACUGUGAGACAAACAAGUCGAACAGGAACGAAAGUCGGGAAUAGUGAUCCGGCGGUGCCGAAUGGAAGGGCCGUCGCUCAACGGAUAAAAGCUACCCUGGGGAUAACAGGCUGAUCUCGCCCAAGAGUUCACAUCGACGGCGAGGUUUGGCACCUCGAUGUCGGCUCAUCGCAUCCUGGAGCUGGAUUCGGUUCCAAGGGUUGGGCUGUCCGCCCAUUAAAGCGGUACGCGAGCUGGGUUCAGAACGUCGUGAGACAGUUCGGUCCCUAUCUGUUGUGGGCGAAGGAGAUCUGCGGAGAGCUGUCCUCAGUACGAGAGGACCGGGAUGGACCUACCGCUGGUGCACCGGUUGUUCCGCCAGGGGCAUAGCCGGGUAGCUAAGUAGGGAAAGGAUAAGCGCUGAAAGCAUCUAAGCACGAAGCCUACUCCAAGAUGAGAUCUCCCAUUCGCAAGAAGUAAGACCCCUUAAAGACGAUAAGGUAGAUAGGCCAGGGAUGGAAGUGCAGUGAUGUACGGAGUUGACUGGUACUAAUCGGUCGAGGACUUAACC
rnacentral:rRNA from 1 species